rnacentral:rRNA from 1 species
UACGUAGGGGGCAAGCGUUGUCCGGAUUUAUUGGGCGUAAAGCGCACGCAGGCGGUUUGUUAAGUGCAGGGUGAAAGCUCCCGGCUCAACUGGGAGAGGUCCUUGCAUACUGGCGAACUCGAGGGAGGCAGAGGAAAGUGGAAUUCCCGGUGUAGUGGUGAUAUGCGUAGAUAUCGGGAGGAACACCUGUGGCGAAGGCGGCUUUCUGGGCCUUACCUGACGCUGAGACGCGAAAGCGUGGGGAGCGAACCGG